UUCGUAACAUCACUCCUCACCUACGCCUAUAGGGUUUCCUUAUGACUUAGACACCCUUUUCUUAUCUUGAUUUUGCUUCAAAAAGGCCAAUAAUCUGGUGCGUAGAUGCCUUCUUUUUAAAGGGUGUGUUGGUUUCCUAGGGGAAUUUAGGUUUGUUUGAGAUCUAUGUGUUCGUCUUAUGGCAGUUUUUUAAGGUUAAAAGGUAGAAUAUAAUGGUUUGUGGGUGCCAGCUAAUUUGUAAGAAGACCUAUAUCGUAUUCGAUUAUGUUUGUUACUUUCUGGAAUUGUUCUCUCUUGGGCUGUUUGGUAGCGGGGUUUAAGCAAGAUUUACGCCAGAUUUGUUGUAAAUAUUUCCAAACGGUUUGCGCGGGCGUAAAUCCCGUCGUUCGGCGGAAAUCCGGGAUUUACGAAUUUGCGAAGUUCUCCCUCGGCGAGCGAGCGAGCUCCCGUCUUGAAGGAGGAGGAGGUGAAGAUGGUUACCUUCGCAGCGAGCGAGCUCCCGACGUGACUUCCGAUCCGACGUCGUCGAAGGAGGAUGCCAAGAGAAGCUUCUUUAGCGUCUAUUUCAACACACUGCUUCACGCGAAGCUGGUGAGGCCGAAGCAGCAACGAAGAAAUUGCAACAGGCUAACAGCUGAAAAGCAAACCCUAGAGGGCCUCCAUCUAAUAAUCUAAUUUAACAUAAUUAAUAUAAAUUAAUUAAAUAAUUAGUAAUGCAAUUAAAUAUAUAUAUUUAUAAAGUUUGAUUUGCUAUAUUUUGGGUUGCUUCACAUUUGAGUAGAGAGAUUAUCAGGCCAAACUGAUUUUUGAUGUGAUUUUGAGUCAGUCUUAGAAUAGAUAGAGCCUGCUCAUGAUGUGCCCAAUGUAUAUAUAUAUGAAAGAGGAAGAAAUAAUACUGCCUUUGUGUUGGCUCGAUUCAAUUUUGAGCCGGCCCAAAAUCGAGCUGAUUCAAGUUGAGUCGGCUAGAGAUUGAAUCGAUUCAAGCUAUGUUCGGGCUGGACUUGAAUCAGCUUGAAACUAGAUCAUUCUUGCUCCCACUUCAUUUUGGUGCAUAAACUUGCUUAUUUAGUGAUGUUGCAUUUAGAUUUCUUUUACAUCUUAUUCUUUUUUAUUUAAUCUUGAAGGAUGGUACAUCAUUGAAAAACUUCUCUUUCUUUCUCUCCCUCAACACACCCACAUUGGUGCUUGCAGAGAGCAGCAAGUAUGAUGCAUACUCAUAUUUGAAAUGUGACAUUUGAAAAUUUAAAAAUUUUAAAAGAAUCUGUUGUAGCGGGAAAGAACUUCUGGCGGAUCAUUGUAUACUAAAGAUUUACCAACCUAAUAGUAUAUUGUUGUUUAUAAUCAGUAAGCAAGUCUCAAUGCAGCGUUCCAUAUGAUUCAUGAGCUUCACUUUGUAAAAAAGGUGGGGUGGCAUGGGUGGGGUUUUGCAUUCAUGAAGUUCAUAUCUAUUUAGAUAACAGUCAAAACUCAGUGUAAUUCCUCAUACCAUCAAUUUCCUUUAAAUGCAUCGAAGGUAAUUACUUUGCUAACCUCAUGUACUGUCACGUUACUGUAUGGUUCGGUUUAAUGUGACAAACAAAAUGCUCUUCACCUUUGCUCCAAGCUGAAUUCCCUGUUAUUAAAUCAUAGGAUUGUGAUUUAAGAAGAGUCGCAUGAGGAUAAAAAUAACAUGGUGAAAUAACUUGAGCUAAAGAACUUAGUGAACUUGGAUGCCUAAUCUAAAAUAGUGUUCCUUUUGGAACAAUAUGAGGGUUUUGGUAAAACAGGCAGGAACAGUUGAAGGACAAUUAAUAUUUGUGAUGGUGCUAUACAGAAUAGAGAAUAAGAAAAAUGAAAAGAGCAUAUAAAAAUGAACAAGAAGAACAUUUUAGGGUUGUCCUAUUUAAAAAUUGUAACUAAAAAAAAGGAGCAUUAGCAGGAAAACAAAAUUGUUUUGUAAAAUUACCAAGGGCAUUGAUUGACGAAGAAGGGAUCACCAGGAACAUGUGAUGAUCUCAUGGGAUGCUAUUGUUUUGGAGAAAAUAUCAUGAUGGACAUAUGUCAAAUCGAGGGGGAUGCUAGGAACAAUGAAACUCAUUGGUCAUCUAGCAUUUUUAGAGAGGGAUUCACAUGCGUAAGGGUUAAUGUUGGAGAAGGCAGAGUGGUUACUUAUAUUAGUCAAGAUGGUAAUUUGCUGACAUAAAAGUUUGGGAUAAUGUUAAUGAUGAUGAUGAGUGAGGGUGAUCAUUUUGAGGCAUUUUUGGUGGUAUGCGAGGAAAUAAGAAGUUUUUGAAUGUUAGAUAUAUAGAUAGGCAUGAAUUCUAUUGUAUUUAUGUAAAUCACUGUCAGGAAACAUAUACACUUUUUGUAAAAUUAGCGGACAACACACAAGAAGUUUGGAAGAAGAACACUCACAAAAUAUUUUUAUUAAAAUAAGAUGCAAAGAAAAAUAAGAUAAAAUAUGGUCCUCAAUUGGAGAGGAGGAUCUGGCUCUCCCAAAUAUCUAGCGUCAACUUUUAGUGCAUGUCUCUUCUUUUCAUAUUCUUGAUUUUUCAUCUUUUAUUGUUCAUGCAUUGAAAAUGUUGUUUCAUCAUCUUCUCAUAUUAAAGGGUUGAAUUAACGAGUCUUGACGAAGGAACAACUUCACGUUUGCACCAAUUUUUCUUGGAAAAGCUAAAUCAAGUUGUGAACAUGAUGAAUCUGGAGACUUUCUAAGGGUGAUAAUUUUUUCUUUCAGCUCUGUCAUUUUAUUGUGAAGCAUUGAAACAAGGCUUUGAGAAAUAAUGCCAUUUUGAUUUAAGCAACUUCCUAAAAUUUGGUAGAAAUAUCAUGUGCCUCUAGAAGAGUGCAAAUUUUGGUUAUUGGCAGAGUGUUGAGUAUUAACUAUAUUGUGGAAGUUUUUGAAAGUUAAUUUGGCAACAUUUUUGUCUUUUAAUAUGUUUAUCCAACACUAAUGGGUAUGAUCAUCAAUGAAAGUGGAAUCUUAGGUGGCCUCAAGUGUCACUAUGUACUAAAGACUUAAUUUUAUAAGGUUUAGAUUUAAAAAUAGGUGUUUGAAAGUUGAUUGACUUUACAUUAAAAUGCACCUUUAUUUUGUUGUUGGCAAUUUGAGAUAUGAAAAGCUAGGGUGACCCAACCUAAAAUGCCACUAUAUUAUUAUUCGUCUUCUUUUAAGAGUUGAUAAUUCCCCUUUCAUAAUGAAGGUGAUAGGAAACACUUGGAUUCACAAGUGUUCCUAGCCAAACUGAAGUAGAUCCAGUAGAAAAUUUCUGUCCACAGCAGAAAAACAGCAAAAAAAAACAAGGAAAA